rnacentral:rRNA from 1 species
CCUACGGGAGGCAGCAGUGGGGAAUAUUGGGCAAUGGGCGCAAGCCUGACCCAGCAACGCCGCGUGAAGGAAGAAGGCUUUCUGGUUGUAAACUUCUUUUCUGGGGGACGAACAACUGACUGUACCCCAGGCAUAAGCCACGGCUAACUACGUGCCAGCAGCCGCGGUAAUACGUAGGUGGCAAGCGUUAUCCGGAUUUCUUGGGUGUAAAGGGCGUGUAGGCGGGAAUGCAAGUCAGAUGUGACAACUAUGGGCUCAACCCAUAGCCUGCAUUUGAAACUGUAGUUCUUGAGUGCUGGAGAGGCAAUCGGAAUUCCGGGUGUAGCGGGGAAAUGCGUAGAAAGACGGAGGAACACCAGUGGCGAAGGCGGAUUGCUGGACAGGACUGACGCUGAGGCGCGAAAGCGUGGGGAGCAAACAGGAUUAGAUACCCUGGUAGUC